AGUGAACGCUGGCGGUAGGCCUAACACAUGCAAGUCGAACGGCAGCACAGUAAGAGCUUGCUCUUACGGGUGGCGAGUGGCGGACGGGUGAGGAAUACAUCGGAAUCUACUUUUUCGUGGGGGAUAACGUGGGGAAACUUACGCUAAUACCGCAUACGACCUACGGGUGAAAGCAGGGGAUCUUCGGACCUUGCGCGAUUGAAUGAGCCGAUGUCGGAUUAGCUAGUUGGCGGGGUAAAGGCCCACCAAGGCGACGAUCCGUAGCUGGUCUGAGAGGAUGAUCAGCCACACUGGAACUGAGACACGGUCCAGACUCCUACGGGAGGCAGCAGUGGGGAAUAUUGGACAAUGGGCGCAAGCCUGAUCCAGCCAUACCGCGUGGGUGAAGAAGGCCUUCGGGUUGUAAAGGCCUUUUGUUGGGAAAGAAAAGCAGCAGGUUAAUACCCCGCUGUUCUGACGGUACCCAAAGAAUAAGCACCGGCUAACUUCGUG
rnacentral:rRNA from 1 species